CACAGUGUGAGUUCAGUAUUCACCACAGUGAAUUCAGUAUGAAAAGUAUAAAUGCCAUGGUACAGUUUUCAGUGAAAGUCGACUGCAGCACUGUAACUUUCUGUUCAUAAAAACCACAAGGUGAUUCCACCACAGUGCGAGUUCAGUAUUCACCACAGUGAAUUCAGCAUGAAAAGUGUAAAUGCCAUGGUACAGUUUUCAGUGAAACUCGACUGCAGCACUGUGACUUUCUGUUCAUGAAAACCACAAGGUGAUUCCACCACAGUGUGAGUUCAGUAUUCACCACAGUGAAUUCAGCAUGAAAAGUGUAAAUGCCAUGGUACAGUUUUCAGUGAAAGUCGACUGCAGCACUGUCUCAUUUUCUGUUCAUGAAAACCACAAGGUGAUUCCACCACAGUGCGAGUUCAGUAUUCACCACAGUGAAUUCAGUAUGAAAAGUAUAAAUGCCAUGGUACAGUUUUCAGUGAAAGUUGACUGCAGCACUGUAACUUUCUGUUCAUGAAAACCACAAGGUGAUUCCACCACAGUGCGAGUUCAGUAUUCACCACAGUGAGUUCAGUAUGAAAAGUAUAAAUGCCAUGGUACAGUUUUCAGUGAAAGUCGACUGCAGCACUGUAACUUUCUGUUCAUGAAAACCACAAGGUGAUUCCACCACAGUGCGAGUUCAGUAUUCACCACAGUGAAUUCAGUAUGAAAAGUAUAAAUGCCAUGGUACAGUUUUCAGUAAAAGUCGACUGCAGCACUGUCUCACUUUCUGUUCAUGAAAACCACAAGGUGCAGUGUUGGCAUGCUCCCCGUUUGCUCCCACAUAUCCCCUUCAGGCGCUGUGUCCACAAAAUGUGGACACCAACUUUGCAUUCACGUAGUUCCAAGCACAGAUGGCAAAAUGUGAUUGAAAAAGCGUGGGCGAAUGCACUUUGAUUUUUCUAAUUGACAAGUGGCACUAUUGCCCUGAAGACAUACGAAAUAAUGAUCAGAAAGCGUACGAAAUAAUGAUCAGAAAGCACGGGAAAAUGGACACCUGAAGCUUCUACGAUGCGAACCGUACGUAGCUCGUUUUUAUUUGUUUUCUUGGUAUUAACGUUAUUAUAAACAGUUAAAAGCCAUUUAUUUGUAAAAAGCAAUGUUUUGUGAUUGUCAAAUACUAUCUUUUCUUGGAGUGCCAAGUGUAAGAGUGCCGCACGCAACUACCGAAAGUUAGUGCCCACAUUAGUGGACAGGGUGCCUCAAAGCCGCUUUUCGAGCAAGCUGCCUUGGGCACAUGACACCCCUAGGCUAAAAUAAGCAACACCUCUUAUUUUUUUUUCAGGCAUUUUUAAGCAUGCGGUAGAGAGAAGGAAGGUCGAUGACCAGACUGUCGACAAAGCUUUAGCAAAAAUUCAAAAUGGCGACGUAUCCGAUGCAGAUCUCUCGGAUGAUGAAUACGCGGAGCAAGCCUUGGCGCAUACGGUGGCCCGUGAUAGUGAUUUCUCAUUUUUUGUAUCUUGCACUGUGCAACAGCUGGUUAAAGUACCUCAGGAACGCAAGCGCUGAGAAGUUCCUACAGAGAAACACCAUGGAUAUGAUGGCGUUCCAAACAGACAUUGCGAACAGCCUGAUAACUUGCAACUGAAACGCUCAA